GUGAGUGUAUUCUGCUUGCUGAUGAGUAUAUCAGGAACUGUUACACAUUUGGUCUCGAGAAAACACUCAUGCUUCCCAGUGUUUUGAGAGUAGCAAGACAGCUGAUAAAACUGUUGUGGAUUGUGGAGUGUGUGACUUGAUGCCGACAAAGAAAACUAAAUUAUGAACAAAUAACAGGAAGUUGUAGGAGCAUCCCUUUUUUCUGAACGACUACACAGAUGUUUUGAGUAUGUUAAAGCUUUCAGUCUGAUUUUACUUUGUAUUUGUCUGCUCGGGCGCUUGGAGAUGUUAUCCUUAAAAAGGUGUAUUACUACAGGUCUUUUAGAAGAUUUGACUACUGAGCUGAACUUUAAGAAUUAUCUGCCGCAGAGAAUAUUUGUAAAGUGAUUUGAGUUACUCUGUAAAAGUAUAUCCGUGAAACUGGGCAGAAACAAAAUGUUUGUCGACUAAAGAGUAUCGGAGCGACUAAAGUGUGAACAAUUACGCGCCCAUGCGUGUUCAACUGGAUGAUCCUGCGGUAUCAAGACACAGCUCGUGGAACUCGGGUUCAACAAAUUAAAAUUCAGCAGUGGAUACACGUCCAUGGUCCUACAACCACGACAUCCUGAGAGUUUGUGAAGAUAACAUUGCAUGAUUUGUAUAUACUGUCACAUAGCUGUAUAGAUGGUUGACACUGUCUCUGGACCUGUUGAAUAAAGCUAAAUGUUUUGCUGCAUGUGCUCUCAAAUGUAAACCUGAUGAGUCCUGAGACUGGUAUGUGACAGGUGCAUGCAAAUGAUGCGAUUCUUCUUAUUCUUCCUUUGUGAGUCUCCUUGUCUUCUGACAGAUUGCAAAGGUGAAGCUCCUCAAGUCACUGUGGGUGUGAUGCCAGACGAUGCCGUCACUACCCAGGGCCCCGUCAGCCUUGUAUCGGCCGUUGAGGUUACAGUAGUUACACGACUUGUACCACCAGGCGGCGUGACGAUCAGCGGCACAGUUGCCACUAGAGUGCUUGUCAUUGUCUCGGUCAUAGGUUGAAAAACUCUGGUUUUUGUGAUACUCCAAGCUGUCACCUGUAAACACACGAACACAUACACACCAUAAAAGACAUUAAUUUUAAGCUUCCAAUAAAGAAAUACAAGUUCUCAUUGAAUUAAUCACGCAAAAGUUCCCGACUUCAAUAGCACACAAAUGAAAACAAGAGAUAGAAAAAAAAUCACAGAAAAUAAAAGUAGAAAGUGCAUGUUGCUGUUUAUGUCGCUAAUCUCGUGCAAUACAUUCUAUCAGCUGAUUUCUUGAUGUCGGCCAUCAAUGGUUGUGCAUUGUA